AGAGCCAUUGUUGAUUUGAAGCAAUGUAUCAGGGGCAGGUCUGGAAGCAACAGCUCACAUACGUUGCCAAUAAACCAGUAGACCACGGGUAUUAGAAAAGGCUGUUCGCAAUCAUUCUUCUGCCUAAUGUCAGCGGUGUAUUUCGAAGAGAUGCAGAGAAAACUUGGGUCAUCUUACAGUAACCAGUAGGGGUGAAAUCCAGCCGGUUCUAUCCAGCUCAGGCGAACCAGUAGCGGCGGCUGUGGGAGGCUCCGCCCACCCGCAUGGACAUCAUGAUGUUGCUUUCUUGUGACAUUUUAAACCUCUGCGCUUGCGCAGAUGAUGGUGUGGGCGAGCGUGCGCACAGCGCGUGCACAUUUGCAAAAAAGUAGGGAAGUGGUCUUGGAAUUGAAGAAAAAGGAAAAUGGCUAGCAAGUAAAAUUGGGGCUAGGCCUUCUUGAGAUGCUGAAAAGAUACAGUUCCAGAGUGAUUCGGGGUCAUUGAAGAGAAGACAAUGUGGAUUCUGUCCACCCAACAGAGAUUUUCAGAGGGAGAAGGGACCAGAAAGAAGAUUAUUGUUCUGCUUCUGCUAAUAUGACAAAAUGUCUAAUUAUGACUAAAUCCCUGUAAGAAUUAUUCAUGGAAACAUGAAUAAACAAGCUAAUAAUAGACUUGAAACAGGAUGAGAAAAUAUCUAGAACAAACUUUUCUUCAUAUGAAUAAUAAAGGUAAAAAAAGGAACAGCCUGAAUCUGGUCCAGAAAGUGGUGUCCAAAGAGUUGGACUUCUGAAAGGGAAAAAAAAAAUCUUAUAUACAUGAUAAAUCUCUAAUGAGAAUGGAGAGGUUAACGUGGCGGAAACCAUGACAGAAAGAUGACAACAUCACUACUGAUGUAGACCAUGAAGUCUUCAUUGAUUGGCAUUCCAGCUUUAGUCAUUAUUCAUUGUGUCAUUGUGUUUAAAUUAUUGUCCAGCUUUGUUUGAACACAUCCAAUGAACAGAGGCACACGGCUUCUCCAUAUAGUUGAUUACACUAAUAAGCAGCCCUUAUUGUUAAUGUGUUUUUCCUAGCAUUGCAGAUUCUGCUUUCCUGUAAAGUAAAAUAAUUUUCAAGGUU